rnacentral:rRNA from 1 species
GAUGAACGCUGGCGGCGUGCCUAAUACAUGCAAGUCGAGCGAACGGACGAGAAGCUUGCUUCUCUGAUGUUAGCGGCGGACGGGUGAGUAACACGUGGAUAACCUACCUAUAAGACUGGGAUAACUUCGGGAAACCGGAGCUAAUACCGGAUGAUAUUUUGAACCGCAUGGUUCAAAAGUGAAAGACGGUCUUGCUGUCACUUAUAGAUGGAUCCGCGCUGCAUUAGCUAGUUGGUAAGGUAAUGGCUUACCAAGGCAACGGUGCAUAGCCGACCUGAGAGGGUGAUCGGCCACACUGGAACUGAGACACGGUCCAGACUCCUACGGGAGGCAGCAGUAGGGAAUCUUCCGCAAUGGGCGAAAGCCUGACGGAGCAACGCCGCGUGAGUGAUGAAGGUCUUCGGAUCGUAAAACUCUGUUAUUAGGGAAGAACAUAUGUGUAAGUAACUGUGCACAUCUUGACGGUACCUAAUCAGAAAGCCACGGCUAACUACGUG